rnacentral:rRNA from 1 species
GACGAACGCUGGCGGCGUGCCUAAUACAUGCAAGUAGAACGCUGAAGGAGGAGCUUGCUCUUCUGGAUGAGUUGCGAACGGGUGAGUAACGCGUAGGUAACCUGCCUGGUAGCGGGGGAUAACUAUUGGAAACGAUAGCUAAUACCGCAUAAGAGUAGAUGUUGCAUGACAUUUGCUUAAAAGGUGCAAUUGCAUCACUACCAGAUGGACCUGCGUUGUAUUAGCUAGUUGGUGGGGUAACGGCUCACCAAGGCGACGAUACAUAGCCGACCUGAGAGGGUGAGUGGCCACACUGGGACUGAGACACGGCCCAGACUCCUACGGGAGGCAGCAGUAGGGAAUCUUCGGCAAUGGACGGAAGUCUGACCGAGCAACGCCGCGUGAGUGAAGAAGGUUUUCGGAUCGUAAAGCUCUGUUGUAAGAGAAGAACGAGUGUGAGAGUGGAAAGUUCACACUGUGACGGUAUCUUACCAGAAAGGGACGGCUAACUACGUG